GACGGAGGAUGCAAGUGUUAUCCGGAAUCACUGGGCGUAAAGCGUCUGUAGGUUGUUUAAAAAGUUCUGCAUUAAAGGUUGAAGCUUAAACUUCAAAAAUGCCGUAGGAAACUUUAAACUAAGAGGAUGGUAGGGGUAGAGGGAAUUUCCAGUGGAGCGGUGAAAAUGUGUAGAUAUUGGAAAGACCACCGAUGGCGAAGGCACUCUACUGGGCCAUAACUGACACUGAGAAGACGAAAGCUAGGGGAGCAAAUGGG
rnacentral:rRNA from 1 species